rnacentral:rRNA from 1 species
UACAGAGGGGGCAAGCGUUGCUCGGAAUUACUGGGCGUAAAGGGCGCGUAGGCGGAUAGUUUAGUCAGAGGUAAAAGCCCAGGGCUCAACCUUGGAACUGCCUUUGAUACUGGUUAUCUUGAGUUCGGGAGAGGUGAGUGGAAUGCCGAGUGUAGAGGUGAAAUUCGUAGAUAUUCGGCGGAACACCAGUGGCGAAGGCGACUCACUGGCCCGAUACUGACGCUGAGGCGCGAAAGCGUGGGGAGCAAACAGG